AUCUUUCUAGUAUUAAAUCGUAUGAGUGACUUCCAAUCACCCGGUCUUGGUUACAGCCCAGGGAAAGAUA
rnacentral:tRNA from 1 species